CAGUCGCCGCGGUAAUACGAAGGGUGCAAGCGUUAAUCGGAAUUACUGGGCGUAAAGCGUGCGUAGGCGGUGAGUUAAGUCUGCUGUGAAAUCCCCGGGCUCAACCUGGGAAUGGCAGUGGAUACUGGCUCGCUAGAGUGUGUCAGAGGAUGGUGGAAUUCCCGGUGUAGCGGUGAAAUGCGUAGAGAUCGGGAGGAACAUCAGUGGCGAAGGCGGCCAUCUGGGACAACACUGACGCUGAGGCACGAAAGCGUGGGGAGCAAACAGGAUUAGAUACCCGAGUAGUCCCUGUCUCUUAUAA
rnacentral:rRNA from 1 species